rnacentral:rRNA from 1 species
GCUGGCGUCCUUGGAGAGGUGGGUACACCCGGCUCCAUUCCGAACCCGGAAGUUAAGCGCCUCAUCGCCGAUGAUACUGCAUAU